CUUUUUUUUAAUUUAAAGCACUAUUUAAGUGAAAAGAAACUUAUUGCAACAAAUUCCCAUCAAAAUAUAUCACAUUUAAAAUUUUUGCUACAUUGCUCAAAAAUGAGGACAAUUUUACAUUUUCUCAAACAGGGUAAGGAACUUGGUUCCUCGAAUAACUUCUGGCACAGACAUCUGAGGGCAUGGCUGUCCAAGAAGAAAAUGUAGCCAUUGUUGCCAUCUAUCGACCACAGGUUAAAGUUUGGCGAUCCGUUGGAUACCGACCGAGUUAUAGGCAAAACUUGGUGCAAAAAUGAGGAAAAUUUUACAUUUUCUCAAACAGGGUAAGGAACUUGGUUCCUCGAAUAACUUCUGGCACAGACAUCUAAGGGCAUGGCUGUCCAAGAAGAAAAUGUAGCCAUUGGUGCCAUCUAUCGACCACAGGUUAAAGUUUGGCGAUCCGUUGGAUACCGACCGAGUUAUAGGCAAAAUUUGGUGCAAAAAUGAGGAAAAUUUUCUUUUUUUUUUUAUUUUUAGAUUUUUUUUAUUAUUUUUCACUCUUUUUUUAUUUUAAUCAUUAUUAGAGUGAAAAGAAACUCAUUGCAACCCAUUGGCAUUAAAAUAAAACAAUUUAAUUUUUUUUGCAAAAUUUCCCAAAAAAAUCGUUAGGGGUAAGCCUUAUGAAAUUUUCGAGUGGAAAAUUUUUUUGAAUUUUUUUUCUGAUUUUUUAUUCUUAUUUUAAUUUAAAGCACUAUUUAAGUGAAAAGAAACUUAUUGCAACAAAAUCCUAUCAAAAUAUAUCACAUUUAAAAUUUUUGCUACAUUGCUCAAAAAUGAGGAAAAUUUUACAUUUUCUCAAACAGGGUAAGGAACUUGGUUCCUCGAAUAACUUCUGGCACAGACAUCUAAGGGCAUGGCUGUCCAAGAAGAAAAUGUAGCCAUUGGUGCCAUCUAUCGACCACAGGUUAAAGUUUGGCGAUCCGUUGGAUACCGACCGAGUUAUAGGCAAAAUUUGGUGCAAAAAUGAGGAAAAUUUUCUUUUUUUUUUUAAUUUUUUGAUUUUUGUAAAUAAUUUUUCACUCUUUUUUUAUUUCAAGCAUUAUUAGAGUGAAAAGAAACUCAUUGCAACCCAUUGGCAUUAAAAUAAAACAAUUUAAUUUUUUGUGCAAAAUUUCCCAAAAAAAUCGUAAGGGGUAAGCCUUAUGAAAUUUUCGAGUGGAAAAUUUUUUUGAAUUUUUUUUCUGAUUUUUUUAUUCUUUUUUUAAUUUAAAGCACUAUUUAAGUGAAAAGAAACUUAUUGCAACAAAAUCCCAUCAAAAUAUAUCACAUUUAAAUUUUUUGCUACAUUGCUCAAAAAUGAGGAAAAUUUUACAUUUUCUCAAACAGGGUAAGGAACUUGGUUCCUCGAAUAACUUCUGGCACAGACAUCUAAGGGCAUGGCUGUCCAAGACGAAAAUGUAGCCAUUGGUGCCAUCUAUCGACCACAGGUUAAAGUUUGGCGAUCCGUUGGAUACCGACCGAGUUAUAGGCAAAAUUUGGUGCAAAAAUGAGGAAAAUUUUACAUUUUCUCAAACAGGGUAAGGAACUUGGUUCCUCGAAUAACUUCUGGCACAGACAUCUAAGGGCAUGGCUGUCCAAGAAGAAAAUGUAGCCAUUGGUGCCAUCUAUCGACCACAGGUUAAAGUUUGGCGAUUCGUUGGAUACCGACCGAGUUAUAGGCGAAAUUUGGUGCAAAAAUGAGGAAAAUUUUCAUUUUUUUUUUAAUUUUUUGAUUUUUUUUUAUUAUUUUUCACUCUUUUUUUAUUUCAAGCAUUAUUAGAGUGAAAAGAAACUCAUUGCAACCCAUUGGCAUUAAAAUAAAACAAUUUAAUUUUUUUGCAAAAUUUCCCAAAAAAAUCGUAAGGGGUAAGCCUUAUGAAAUUUUCGAGUAGAAAAUUUUUUUGAAUUUUUUUUCUGAUUUUUUAUUCUUUUUUUAAUUUAAAGCACUAUUUAAGUGAAAAGAAACUUAUUGCAACAAAUUCCCAUCAAAAUAUAUCACAUUUAAAUUUUUUGCUACAUUGCUCAAAACUGAGGAAAAUUUUACAUUUUCUCAAACAGGGUAAGGAACUUGGUUCCUCGAAUAACUUCUGGCACAGACAUCUAAGGGCAUGGCUGUCCAAGAAAAAAAUGUAGCCAUUGUUGCCAUCUAUCGACCACAGGUUAAAGUUUGGCGAUCCGUUGGAUACCGACCGAGUUAUAGGCAAAACUUGGUGCAAAAAUGAAGAAAAUUUUACAUUUUCUCAAACAGGGUAAGGAACUUGGUUCCUCGAAUAACUUCUGGCACAGACAUCUAAGGGCAUAGCUGUCCAAGAAGAAAAUGUAGCCAUUGGUGCCAUCUAUCGACCACAAGUUAAAGUUUGGCGAUCCGUUGGAUACCGACCGAGUUAUAGGCAAAAUUUGGUGCAAAAAUGAGGAAAAUUUUACAUUUUCUCAAACAGGGUAAGGAACUUGGUUCCUCGAAUAACUUCUGGCACAGACAUCUAAGGGCAUGGCUGUCCAAGAAGAAAAUGUAGCCAUUGGUGCCAUCUAUCGACCACAGGUUAAAGAUUGGCGAUCCGUUGGAUACCAACCGAGUUAUAGCCGAAAUUGGUGUAAAAAUAAACCUUUUGAAAUUUUCAAAUUUUUAUAAUUUUUUUUAUUUUUUUUUUUAAUUUUUUAUCCGUUUUUUAUUUAAAGCAUUAUUUGAAUGAAAAGAAUCUCAUUUCAA